rnacentral:rRNA from 1 species
UGGGGGAUAUUGCACAAUGGGCGAAAGCCUGAUGCAGCGACGCCGCGUGGGGGAUGAAGGCCUUCGGGUUGUAAACUUCUUUUGCCCUGAACAAGGCAUGCCUUUGGGGUGUGUUGAGUGUAGGGGUUGAUUAGCGCCGGCUAACUACGUGCCAGCAGCCGCGGUAAUACGUAGGGCGCGAGCGUUGUCCGGAAUUAUUGGGCGUAAAGGGCUUGUAGGUAGCUGGUUGCGUCUGUCGUGAAAGCUCAUGGCUUAACUGUGGGUUUGCGGUGGGUACGGGCUGGCUUGAGUGCAGUAGGGGAGGCUGGAAUUCCUGGUGUAGCGGUGGAAUGCGCAGAUAUCAGGAGGAAUACCGGUGGCGAAGGCGGGUCUCUGGGCUGUUACUGACGCUGAGGAGCGAAAGCGUGGGGAGCGAACAGG